rnacentral:rRNA from 1 species
UACGUAGGGGGCGAGCGUUGUCCGGAUUCAUUGGGCGUAAAGCGCGUGUAGGCGGCUUUGCAAGUCGGGUGUGAAAGCCCUCGGCUCAACCGAGGAAGUGCGCCCGAAACUGCAGAGCUUGAGUACCGGAGAGGAUGGCGGAAUUCCCCAAGUAGAGGUGAAAUUCGUAGAUAUGGGGAGGAACACCGGUGGCGAAGGCGGCCAUCUGGACGGAUACUGACGCUGAGACGCGAAAGCGUGGGGAGCAAACAGG